rnacentral:rRNA from 1 species
CACGUAAGGUGCGAGCGUUGUUCGGAAUUAUUGGGCGUAAAGGGCAUGUAGGCGGCAUCGUAAGCUUGGUGUGAAAUCCCGGGGCUUAACCCCGGAACUGCAUUGAGAACUGCGGAGCUAGAAUCACUGAGGGGCAACCGGAAUUCCAGGUGUAGGGGUGAAAUCUGUAGAUAUCUGGAAGAACACCAAUGGCGAAGGCAGGUUGCUAGCGGAUGAUUGACGCUGAGGUGCGAAGGUGCGGGGAGCGAAC